rnacentral:lncRNA from 1 species
UUAAAUUAUGAUUCAAUUUUAUAUCAGUCUGUCCAAAAGAUGUUCUAGUGAAAGUGUUAAACUUAGCCUGGAUCUGCUAUUGGAAGUGUGAAUUUUUGUGGCACUAAACAAUGCAAUGGGUCUGGAUUCAUUUUUGCAUUAACAUUUGUUUAGACGAUUUUCUUUAUCGAAUUUUACUGUCUAAAAAGGAAAAAGCAAAGAAAUAAGACGUAUAC